GACGAACGCUGGCGGCGUGCUUAACACAUGCAAGUCGAACGGUGAAGCGCCUUCCUUUUUGGUGGGUGUGGAUGAGUGGCGAACGGGUGAGUAACACGUGAGUAACCUGCCCCCUUCUUCUGGAUAACCGCAUGAAAGUGUGGCUAAUACGGGAUAUUCUGGGUCUGUCGCAUGAUGGGUCUGGGAAAGAUAUUGUUUCGGUGGGGGAUGGGCUCGCGGCCUAUCAGCUUGUUGGUGGGGUGAUGGCCUACCAAGGCGGUGACGGGUAGCCGGCCUGAGAGGGUGGACGGUCACACUGGGACUGAGACACGGCCCAGACUCCUACGGGAGGCAGCAGUGGGGAAUAUUGCACAGUGGGCGCAAGCCUGAUGCAGCGACGCCGCGGGAGGGAUGGAGGCCUUCGGGUUGUGAACCUCUUUCGCCAGUGAAGCAGGCCUGCCUCGUUUGUGGGUGGGUUGACGGUAGCUGGAGAAGAAGCGCCGGCUAACUACGUG
rnacentral:rRNA from 1 species